rnacentral:rRNA from 1 species
CCAACAGGGAUUGCCCUAGUAACGGCGAGUGAAGCGGCAACAGCUCAAAUUUGAAAUCUGGCCCUCGGGUCCGAGUUGUAAUUUGUAGAGGAUGCUUUUGGUGCGGUGCCUUCCGAGUUCCCUGGAACGGGACGCCAUAGAGGGUGAGAGCCCCGUCUGGUUGGACACCAAUCCUCUGUAAAGCUCCUUCGACGAGUCGAGUAGUUUGGGAAUGCUGCUCUAAAUGGGAGGUAUAUGUCUUCUAAAGCUAAAUAUUGGCCAGAGACCGAUAGCGCACAAGUAGAGUGAUCGAAAGAUGAAAAGCACUUUGAAAAGAGAGUUAAAAAGUACGUGAAAUUGUUGAAAGGGAAGCGCUUAUGACCAGACUUGGACUUGGCUGAUCAACCUGGGUUCUCCCUGGUGCACUCUUCCUAGUCCAGGCCAGCAUCAGUUCGCUGCGGGGGAUAAAGGCUUCGGGAACGUGGCUCCCUCGGGAGUGUUAUAGCCCGUUGCGUAAUACCCUGCGGUGGACUGAGGUUCGCGUUCUGCAAGGAUGCUGGCGUAAUGGUCAUCAGCGACCCGUCUUGAAACACGGACCAAGGAGUCGUCUUCGUAUGCGAGUGUUCGGGUGUUAAACCCCUACGCGUAAUGAAAGUGAACGCAGGUGAGAGCUUCGGCGCAUCAUCGACCGAUCCUGAUGUUCUCGGAUGGAUUUGAGUAAGAGCAUACGGGGCCGGACCCGAAAGAAGGUGAACUAUGCCUGUAUAGGGUGAAGCCAGAGGAAACUCUGGUGGAGGCUCGCAGCGGUUCUGACGUGCAAAUCGAUCGUCAAAUAUGGGCAUGGGGGCGAAAGACUA